rnacentral:rRNA from 1 species
GAACGCUAGCGACAGGCCUAACACAUGCAAGUCGAGGGGCAGCACAAGGAGCAAUCUGAGGUGGCGACCGGCGCACGGGUGAGUAACACGUAUGCAACCUGCCUGUAAGCGGGGAAUAACCCGUUGAAAGACGGACUAAUACCGCAUAAUACUAAAUUACUGCAUGGUAAUUUAUUUAAACAUUUAUGGCUUACAGAUGGGCAUGCGCAUGAUUAGCUAGUUGGAGAGGUAACGGCUCCCCAAGGCAACGAUCAUUAGGGGUUCUGAGAGGAAGGUCCCCCACACUGGUACUGAGACACGGACCAGACUCCUACGGGAGGCAGCAGUGAGGAAUAUUGGUCAAUGGACGAGAGUCUGAACCAGCCAAGUCGCGUGCAGGAAGAAUGUCCUAUGGAUUGUAAACUGCUUUUGCAGGGGGAAUAAAGUGCAUCACGUGUGAUGUUUUGUAUGUACUCUGCGAAUAAGGAUCGGCUAACUCCGUGCCAGCAGCUGC